UGAAACUCAGCAAACCAGCGAAUUGUGGU
rnacentral:sRNA from 1 species